rnacentral:rRNA from 1 species
GCAUAUUGCUUCGGUGAUAAUGUGCCGUGGAGAGUGGCGAACGGGUGCGUAACACGUACGUAACCUGCCCUGAAAGGGGGGAUAACCACGGGAAACUGUGGCUAAUACCGUAUAAUCUCGCCGUGGCGGUGGUUACGGUGAGGAAAGCUGAGGCGAUUUGGGAGGGGCCUGCGGUCGAUUAGCUGGUUGGUGGGGUAAAGGCCCACCAAGGCGAUGAUCGAUAGCUGUUCUGAGAGGAAGACCAGCCACACGGGAACUGAAACCCGGUUCCGACUCCUACGGGGGGCAGCAGUGAGGAAUAUUGCGCAAUGGGGGGAACCCUGACGCAGCAACGCCGCGUGGAGGACGAAGGUUUUCGGAUUGUAAACUCCUUAACUGGGGGAAGAGAGAGGACGGUACCCCAGGACGAAGACACGGCUAA